AUGGCCAUAUCUAUGGCUACACCAUUGUGGGCACAAGAGUUGGUGGACAGUUACCCUCAAGAUCCAGCUACAAAAACCCUUCUGGAAAAACUGUUGUUGCAACCCAACAACACCAUGUCUGAUUAUAGCUUGAUAGCUGGUAUUAUCAUAUAUAAAGGAAAAAUCAUGGUGGGGAAUGUAGCUAAUCUAAGAGCAAGAUUGAUAACUGCUUUGCACAGUUCUCCUGUGGGUGGACAUUCAAGAACUAGAGCUACUUAUCAAGGAGUGAAAAACAUAUUCUAUUGGCCUGGUCUGAAAGCAGAAGUGGAAAAUUUCAUUACAACUUGCCCUAUCUGUCAGAGAGCUAAGCAUGAGCAUUGUCUUCAACCUGGUUUACUAGAAUCCUUGUCUAUGGCUGACAUGCCUUGGUAG
rnacentral:rRNA from 1 species